rnacentral:misc_RNA from 1 species
GAUGAAGAACGUAGCGAAAAGCGAUACGUAAUGUGAAUUUCAGAAUUCAGUGAAUCAUCGAGUCUUUGAACGCACAUUGCGCCCCCUGGUAUUCCGGGGGGCAUGCCUGUCCGAGCGUCAUUGCUGCCCUCAAGCACGGCUUGUGUGUUGGGCCUCCGUCCUCCUCCCGGGGGACGGGCCCGAAAGGCAGCGGCGGCACCGCGUCCGGUCCUCGAGCGUAUGGGGCUUCGUCACCCGCUCUUGUAGGCCCGGCCGGCGCUUGCCGACACAUCAAUCUUUUUUCCAGGUUGACCUCGGAUCAGGUAGGGAUACCCGCUGAACUUAAGCAUAUCAAUAAGCGGAGGA